rnacentral:rRNA from 3 species
GAGUUCUCCCUGAGACUUAAAGUCUCCUGAAGGAACGUUGAAGACGACGACGUUGAUAGGCCGGGUGUGUAAGCGCAGCGAUGCGUUGAGCUAACCGGUACUAAUGAACCGUGAGGCUUAACCUUACAACGCCGAAG